rnacentral:sRNA from 1 species
AACCAAGCGAAAGGAGGUGAUCCAAUGUCUAGUGAGAUCCGCGCAGGCGGGAGCGACUUUGGGUAUGAGGUGAUUUCGACGAGGCAGCCCUCGGCGAAGUAGCCCUUUCUCUCCGAACCGCUUGGUGCAAACGGUUCCAACGGUUCAAGUCACCCCGUGUGACGGUAUCAUGGAAGGACUGUUCGAGUUAUCGGACAGUCCU